GACGAACGCUGGCGGCGUGCUUAACACAUGCAAGUCGAACGGAAAGGCCCUGCUUUUGUGGGGUGCUCGAGUGGCGAACGGGUGAGUAACACGUGAGUAACCUGCCCUUGACUUUGGGAUAACUUCAGGAAACUGGAGCUAAUACCGGAUAGGAGCUCCUGCUGCAUGGUGGGGGUGGGAAAGAUUCGGCGGUUGGGGAUGGACUCGCGGCUUAUCAGCUUGUUGGUGGGGUAGUGGCUUACCAAGGCUUUGACGGGUAGCCGGCCUGCGAGGGUGACAGGACAAACUGGGACUGAGAUACGGCCCAGACUCCUACGGGAGGCAGCAGUGGGGAAUAUUGCACAAUGGGCGGAAGCCUGAUGCAGCAACGCCGCGUGCGGGAUGACGGCCUUCGGGUUGUAAACCGCUUUCGCCUGUGACGAAGCGUGAGUGACGGUAAUGGGUAAAGAAGCACCGGCUAACUACGUG
rnacentral:rRNA from 1 species